GGGGCACCUCACUCAACAGGCACAAAGAUGCCAACUCAUCACUCUCGAAAACAAGCAUCUCUCAUCUGAGCCACUGGGGAUGUGGAGAACAGCAAUGUGCCAAGGCUCGCGAUGACAGCGGGGUGCCCCCAGCCAUGCCACCCCAGCUCCUGCCACUGCUCCUUCCCACCCCUGUUGCUGCCCAGCCAGUUUCCCCAGCUGGAGAGAAGCUGGACCUUGGGCACGGCCCCAAAUCGUACCAGGCAGCCCAGGCUGGUAACGGAGACUCUUCCCAGGCUCCCAG